rnacentral:rRNA from 1 species
UACAGAGGGUGCGAGCGUUAAUCGGAAUUACUGGGCGUAAAGCGUGCGCAGGCGGUUCGCUGUGUCCGAUGUGAAAGCCCCGGGCUUAACCUGGGAAUGGCAUUGGAAACUGGCGGGCUUGAGCGCGGCAGAGGGGGGUGGAAUUCCGCGUGUAGCAGUGAAAUGCGUAGAGAUGCGGAGGAACACCGAUGGCGAAGGCAGCCCCCUGGGUCGACACUGACGCUCAGGCACGAAAGCGUGGGGAGCAAACAGG